CGGACGGGUGAGUAACGCGUGGGGAACCUGCCUUGCACCGGGGGAUAACACUUAGAAAUAGGUGCUAAUACCGCAUAAGCGCACAGAGCCGCAUGGCUCGGUGUGAAGAACUCCGGUGGUGCAAGAUGGACCCGCGUCUGAUUAGCUGGUUGGCGGGGUAACGGCCCACCAAGGCGACGAUCAGUAGCCGGCCUGAGAGGGUGAACGGCCACAUUGGGACUGAGACACGGCCCAAACUCCUACGGGAGGCAGCAG
rnacentral:rRNA from 1 species